rnacentral:rRNA from 1 species
UACGGAGGAUGCAAGCGUUAUCCGGAAUGAUUGGGCGUAAAGCGUCCGCAGGUGGCAAUGUAAGUCUGCUGUUAAAGAGUCUAGCUCAACCAGAUAAGAGCAGUGGAAACUACAUAGCUAGAGUACGUUCGGGGCAGAGGGAAUUCCUGGUGUAGCGGUGAAAUGCGUAGAGAUCAGGAAGAACACCGGUGGCGAAGGCGCUCUGCUAGGCCGUAACUGACACUGAGGGACGAAAGCUAGGGGAGCGAAUGGG